rnacentral:rRNA from 1 species
CUACGGGGGGCACCAGUGAGGAAUAUUGCACAAUGGGGGGAACCCUGAUGCAGCAACGCCGCGUGGAGGAUGACGCAUUUCGGUGUGUAAACUCCUUUUAUAUGUCAAGAAAAUGACGGUAGCAUAUGAAUAAGCACCGGCUAACUCCGUGCCAGCAACCGCGGUAAUACGGAGGGUGCAAGCGUUACUCGGAAUCACUGGGCGUAAAGGACGCGCAGGCGGGUUGGAAAGUCAGGUGUGAAAUCCUACAGCUUAACUGUAGAACUGCACUUGAAACUUCUAAUCUAGAGUAUGGGAGGGGGAGAUGGAAUUAGUGGUGUAGGGGUAAAAUCCGUAGAUAUCACUAGGAAUACCUAAAGCGAAGGCGAUCUCCUGGAACAUUACUGACGCUAAGGCGUGAAAGCGUGGGGAGCAAACAGGAUUAGAUACCCCCGUAGUC